AUUGAACGCUGGCGGCAUGCCUUACACAUGCAAGUCGAACGGCAGCACGGGGGCAACCCUGGUGGCGAGUGGCGAACGGGUGAGUAACAUAUCGGAACAUACCCUAGAGUGGGGGAUAACGUAGCGAAAGUUACGCUAAUACCGCAUACGAUCUAAGGAUGAAAGUGGGGGAUCUUCGGACCUCAUGCUCAUGGAGUGGCCGAUAUCUGAUUAGCUAGUUGGUGAGGUAAAGGCUCACCAAGGCGACGAUCAGUAGCUGGUUUGAGAGAACGACCAGCCACACUGGAACUGAGACACGGUCCAGACUCCGUACGGAGGCAGCAGUGGGAAUUUUGGACGAAUGGGGCAACCCUGAUCCGACGCAAUGCCGCGUGAGCGAA
rnacentral:rRNA from 1 species